CAUUGAAAUACUACUUCUCGUCCGAAUACCAAAGUUAAGCAACGUCGAUCCUGGUCAGUACCUAAAUGGGUGACCACUUGGUAAUACCUAGUGCUGUAA